AACUUAAGCAUAUCAAUAAGCGGAGGAAAAGAAACCAACAGGGAUUGCCCUAGUAACGGCGAGUGAAGCGGCAACAGCUCAAAUUUGAAAUCUGGCCCUAGGGUCCGAGUUGUAAUUUGUAGAGGAUGCUUUUGGCGCGGUGCCUUCCGAGUUCCCUGGAACGGGACUCCUUAGAGGGUGAGAGCCCCGUACGGUUGGACACCAAGCCUCUGUAAAGCUCCUUCGACGAGUCGAGUAGUUUGGGAAUGCUGCUCUAAAUGGGAGGUAAAUUUCUUCUAAAGCUAAAUAUUGGCCAGAGACCGAUAGCGCACAAGUAGAGUGAUCGAAAGAUGAAAAGCACUUUGAAAAGAGGGUUAAAUAGCACGUGAAAUUGUUGAAAGGGAAGCGUUUACGACCAGACCUUUGCCUGGCGGAUCAUCCGGUGUUCUCACCGGUGCACUUCGCCAGGCUGAGGCCAGCAUCGGUUUCUGCAGGGGGAUAAAGGCUUGGGGAACGUAGCUCCCUCGGGAGUGUUAUAGCCCCUUGCGUAAUACCCUUGCGGGGACCGAGGACCGCGCUUCGGCAAGGAUGCUGGCAUAAUGGUCGUCAAUGACCCGUCUUGAAACACGGACCAAGGAGUCGAACAUUUGUGCGAGUGUUUGGGUGUUAAACCCUCACGCGUAAUGAAAGUGAACGGAGGUGAGAGCCCUUACGGGUGCAUCAUCGACCGAUCCUGAUGUCUUCGGAUGGAUUUGAGUAAGAGCAUAACUGUUCGGACCCGAAAGAUGGUGAACUAUGCGUGGGUAGGGUGAAGCCAGAGGAAACUCUGGUGGAGGCUCGCAGCGGUUCUGACGUGCAAAUCGAUCGUCAAACCUGCGCAUGGGGGCGAAAGACUAUCGA
rnacentral:rRNA from 1 species